CGGAGCGCGGCGCUCCGCACCUUGACCGGCGGCACCGGGCGGGCCGGGCCGGGGCGGCUCCGGUACCGGGGGCGGGCGCCGCUCUUUGACCCUCGGGUUGGUCGGGGAGCCCGGUUUUGUCGGGAAAGCCGGAUCCGCGCCGGGAUGCGGACAAAGACACGGAGCAGCUGUUCGGGAAUAAAGCUGAAAUAGUAGAACCUGGGAGAGAAGUUAGCUUGGGGGAGCUAUUAUUUUCGCCGCAAAACCCUCGGGAGGUAUUAAACAGCUGCAUCCAAACGACGGAGCGACCCAAAGGCCGGGAUCCCACCGCCUCGCCGUCGAGCAGCGGGCGCGUGGCUCAGCGCACGGCCGCAGGUGGAGCAGCCCCGGCCCCGCAGCCCCUCUCCAAUGAUGGGUGUAAUGUAACGUGGCUGCCGCGGGACACAACGCCGGGACGCGGGCGCUGGGUCUGGCUGUCGGUGACGUCUGGCUGGCUGGGUGCUGGCUGUAGGGUUCGGGGGAUGGAAGGAAGGGGGUAAAAAUCAAUCUUUGCCUCCACUAGGUUCCUCUGCAAAGAGCAGCGUAGCAGAGCGGUUGGGAGAGCUGUGCUGGACAGAGGACGGCCGGCCGCGAGCGGAGCCUCCCACCGGCGAGCAUUGCCAGGCGAGGAGAGAAAACCUGGGCAGCCUUAAAACACUCAGAGUGUAAUGUGACGCUUCCAAACCUUUGCAGCCUGCGGUAAGCCGAGGGAAGCAAUGAGUAACCUUUGCUUUCAAGUGAAAACGGUGCGGUGGUAACAUCCCGAUGGAGCCCGUGCGCAUCGGGCAUUGUUUGGAAUUCUUGCCAUAUUUUAACCUCUGCCGUGUUGGCUGCUCGCAGGAACAAGCUGAGCGCUCCGAGAUAACACUGCGUUUUGUCAGAUGCUUUAUAACGUUGUUUAGAGACGUGCUCGGAUCUAUUUAGUGCUUCAUAAAUAUGAAUAAAGCGUUUACAAAAGGCACGUCACCGCAGAAGUAACCGUGGAUUAUGCCAGCUGCUCGCAGUUUACACGUUACAAAUUUCCUAAACUGUUCUGAACUACAUUUUACCGGGGGCGUUUUUACCCGCGAUUAAAUACAACUCAGCGCUGCCCAGCAAAUAUCUCUGUUGAUUUAUGUAUAGGAAAUCGGGGAAUCAGCAUUGGCCCAAACCCCAAAUUACUGCUGAAGCAGUUUCAAAUAUUUAUGGACCUGUUAUGGGAGGAGAGAGGAAUGUCAUGUUUUUUUUUUCCCAAGGCCUCGCUGUGCGCAGACCGAUUUUCUCAGCCGUUUCCGCCCCGGGUGCGGGGUGCCCUGCAGCCCCCCCAGCACAGAUGGGUUUGUGAUGUGAUUGCUGUGCUGUUGGCUGCAGGACAGUGCGGGUUGCAGCCCUGGGUUGCUGUAGGCACAGCCAUGGUAGUGUGGUUGCAAUCCUGCUGCCCUCCGGCCCUCAGUGCUUUUGUUUGUCCUGGAAAAACGCAGCGCGGUCCCGCAAGGCCUUGCGUUUGUGCUGGGCAUGAAUUUUGCACUGGCGAAAGUCUGCUCGAGGAGCCUGAAGACGCACCAUCCCCACUUAUCGCCCCAGAGGCAGGCUAUCUAGCUGACAAGCUGUGCGGUGAAAAACCAGGUGCCCAUGUGCCUGCUGCUCACCCAAGGCCUGAAAGGGAUCAGCUGCUCAUUUUGCAGAGCAAAGUAAGAUGGCAACAAGGAGUGCUUUCCUGGUGCCAGAUUUCAUCUGAAAUUGGUCCUAUGCUGAACGAGUUGGGGCCAAUGAGAAGCAGAAAGUGGAUGAAGCAAGAUCCUAAAAGGGAAAGACCAAUGUUUUAUUUACUACAAUAAACCCUAAACCCAGGUUUAUCACUAACUAGUCGUAUUUUCUGUUUGUGUUUGUCUUUGUGGUCUGACAUUUGCUCAUGCUGUGAUAGCUUCAUCAAAAUACAUUUUUUAGAAAAAGCAUAUUGCUUGUCACUGUUUCAUUGACACUGAGAACAAUCAUGUUAGAAUUUUAUGAACAAAACAUUGACUUGUAUGGUAUUCCUAAUGCAUAUUAAGUUUACCCGAAAUGAGGAGAGCCAGAUACG
ensembl:lncRNA